AAAUAAAAACUUGCUAAUAUGAAAAGAAUUUAAAGUAUACUUUAUAAGAAAAAUAGUUUUAAUGAUUAGUUAAGCAAGUAAGAGAGUUGGAACGUUGGAUAUAAAUUGGCUUUAGUUGAGAAGUAUUGUAUAAGAAAGUUGAAAUAAGGUUUAAAAAGUAAUUAAACGAAAGUAUUGUUAGAAACAAGUACCUUGUGUAUCAGGGAAGUUUAAAAUUUUUCAUAUAAGUUGUUCAUCCCGAAGGAAAAAUAGCUAAUAUAAUAAUCUUGUCUUAGUUGUAUAUAGGUUUAAAAUUUUAUAUUAGUGGUGAAAUAUUAAACGAGUUUUCGAAUAUCUGGUUUUUUUAGAAAUGAAUUGAAUUCAGUUGCUUGAACAUUGUUCUUCAUGCAAUAAAAAGUAGGAGGGUAAGCUUCUUACUAAAAAAAGAACUAUAAAUCUUAAUAAAAAAAAAGUAAUCUAAACUAAGCUUAAAAGUAGCUAUGUUAGUAAAGUGUUUCAAUUAAGGAAGAGAUUUAAAAUUAUUUAUAUGGAAUUUAGUAUUUGUUAAAAGAAUAUAUUAAAAAUCAGUUUUUUAAUAGGAAAAAUGAAAUUAUUAGUAUAGAAUUGUUGUGAAAAGAGAAAAAUGAAUAGAUAAAAAGUUUGUAAUGUAGGGAAGUUAUCUUUAAGGAAUUCGGCAAAAGCAGCUUUUGCCUGUUUAUCAAAAACAUGUCUUUGUGAUGUUUAAUAUAAAGUCUGACCUGCCCACUGAUAUAGAGUUUAAAGGCCGCGGUAUAGUGACCGUGCGAAGGUAGCAUAAUAAUUUGUCUUUUAAUUGAAGACUAGUAUGAAAGGUCGAACAAAAGGCUAGCUGUCUCUGAGAUAAAACUUGAAAUUAACGUUUAAGUGAAAAGGCUUAAAUGAUCUAGAGGGACGAUAAGACCCUAUAAAUCUUUAUAUUUUGGCUUAUAAGGUUAAAAAUUAGGUUAUAAUUUAGUUUUAUAAGGUUGAAUAUUUUGUUGGGGAGACAGGAGUAUAAAAAGAAAUAACUGCUUUAGAAUUAGAGUUAAAGGUGUUUAAGUUUAAAAGUGAUCCUUUAAUAAGGAAUGUAGAUUAAGUUACUUUAGGGAUAACAGCGUAAUUCCCCUUGAGAGUCCAUAUCGAAAGGGGAGAUUGCGACCUCGAUGUUGAAUUAAUGAUCCUUUACGGUGCAGAAGUUGUAUGAGGAGGUCUGUUCGACCUUUAAAUCUUUACAUGAUUUGAGUUCAGACCGGCGUGAGCCAGGUCGGUUUCUAUCUUCUAGGAAGAAAAAUUAUUCCUUUAGUACGAAAGGAUUGAGGAGUAGUAAUAGUUACAGGAAGAAGAAU
rnacentral:rRNA from 1 species